GUAGUACUACUUGCUGAAGCUACUGAGAACGCACAAUCAACAAGAACAACACAAAAUCGUGAAAGAGAGGGUCGAGGACUCGAGGUAGUAAGUUACCAUGUGUAAUUGUGAUCUGGUGGGGAAGAGAAGCUGGAUUGGCAAGGAAGGGAAGCUGCAACCAGCGACAAGGAAGAGAAGUAAGACCCCAACGGCGGUGUUGAAUCAGAGAAGGAUCCAGCAGUGCAAUGCGGUGGCAGUGGAAGCGGCACGCUCCAGUAGUGCAUGGCGGCGGCACAAUAGGAGUAGUGCGCAGCCUCUCCUCCCCGACGAAACCGGCGCCCCACCUGCCUCUCUGAUGGUACCACACACCUGCAACAUCCCUCUUCCCUCCAGUACAUAAUUAGCAAUUGCAUCAACCAGGCAUCAAUUGUUCUAAAUCAUCCAUCAAACCAUAUUCUAGGGACUAAUAUAAAGUUACCUUUUGAGGCAAAAGCUUCAGCUCAAACAUGACGAAUUUUGGCCUGAAUCUUGGCUAACUCAUCUCCUUUCUUUUGUCCCCCAUAGUCUUCUCUCUCCCUGGCUAUUUCCCCUAGAUGUGUUAGCACAGGAGUAGCAGCUCACCUCUCAAGGCCCCUCUCUCUGCUCCAUCGCAUCUGUGAUCCACUUCUAUAAAUGUGGGCACACAACAUCACAUAAUCUUGCAUAAUCUAAACCAAGACCGCAUCAAAGAACCAAGUUAGAAUCAAAGGAGGGAGACAGAAGGGAAGUAAAUGCAUAAUCAGUUAUCUGCUUGUAACUCAAGGAAUUAUACUGCAACAUUUCCUCCAGUGCAGGCAGACUCGAAUGAUGGUUAGUAAAUGUUACAUGUUUGCUAACUCUACAUUUUUUCUUACAUAAGUAUGCAUUUGGACUGAUAAUCAUGCCUAAUUUGUAGUGCCGCUUGAUGAAACAUCUGCUUUUAACUCCGGAACUCAUGCUUCAGCAUAUGUUCCAUUGCGGGAUAAUCCUACACUUGGGAGGCAAGCCCAAGAUCACAUGAAGGUGUCAUUUUCAUUGCCACUAAACACUACAUAUCAGUAGUUCAGAUGUUUCCUCUCUGAUCACAUGAAGGUGUCAUUUUUUUCCUGACUUUUUCCGAAGGCAUGGUUAGACAUUUGUCAUGUGAGUUUGUGCAAUGGGUACCAAGCUUGCACUCGCGUGCUUAACCUGACUUCUUCUACAAGAUAGGAACAUGCGUUGGCUGUAUGAACAUGCGUUGUGUA